GGGGCGGUUUUACAUAGGAGUGGACCCAUGUGCAGAAACCUUGCGGGCACGUGUCCAGAAUUCGUGGGGACACCAUCCUCUCUGCAUGCACAGGUCUCCGAAAACAUGGCACCCGCCAUACUCCAGUUAUUGAUCAGCAAUCCCACGCUGAUUGUUCUAGAACUAAUGAAGGCUUUGUGGUGUCCAAAAGGUUUGGAGAAUGUUGUACCAUAGUAAUCUAGCUCCACUGGUGUAAUGGCCACAGCGGGUGGUGAAACCAUCUAUGCAGGAAUUUUAUCUAAUAGAGGCUCAAAGUUGAAAUAAAUCUACAUCAUAUCUUUAUGGCAGGUCACAAGCUUUAGCGUUGCUGCAUUAAACACUACUUUCGUCUUCUGAGAACUUGACAUGGGCCUGCCAGGAAAAUUGUAUGAUUUAUGGUGGGGUCAACAGAAUAUAUAUAUAAAUUAUUUUUGUAGAAA